rnacentral:lncRNA from 1 species
CCCCGCCGCUGUGCCACCCUGCGUUACCACGGGAGCCAAAACAGGUCCCAAGCCCCGGGAUCGUGGGGCUUCAGCUGUAGCGGGGAAGACAGACAGACAAGCAAGUAUCAGUCAUUGCAGUGAGUGCUAGAAGGACCGGCCCAGAGCUGACGCCAUCUACCAGAGACCUCUGUCUAUCCCCGGGUCCCAGGGGCCCGUGCAGGGAAGCGAUGUUUGAGCUGAGACUUGAAGGAGUAAGGGGGAGGAAGAGGGUCUGGUGAGGUCGGAGGAGACCCUCUACACCUUAGUAAGAUUGCUUUAUCCUUAACCGAAGAUGCAUGCAAAGCUACUGAAGGAUUUUAAGCCCAGCAAUCACCGUAAGAGCAGACAUUUAUUUGGAAUUUACAUGACUCUAAGCACUGUACAUGGAAUAACAAUGACAAUAGCAAAUCUGCUUAAUAUGUGCCAAGCACUUUGCAGAUGUGAAGUCAUUUAGUCUUCAUAGCAGCCUUUCCACCAUGUGCAAGUGUAAAAUCCUCAUUUUGCAGAAGAGGAAACUGAGGCACAGACUCAGCGUGAAUGCUCUAAGCAGUCUGAGCCACACAACGGAGCCGUAAAAUAGCUGACCCUGGACUUUCUCCAUGGAGAUAUGAAGAGACUCAAGCAUUCUAGAAAGCGUUUGGUUGGUUUUUGUUUGAUAUAUAUAAAAAGAUUAGAGGCAGCAAGAGAAGAGAAUCAGAGAGAACCUACGCAUGGAUUUUUUUAAAAAUACAAAAUAGAUUUUACAGCAGAAGUAGAUAGAAGUGGUGCAAAUAAUGAUUUCUCCUCCUCUGAUAUCAGGCUUUGUUGAGCUCCCGGAAAAGCAAACACAUAAUUAUAAUGGAGGUAAAUGGACUGAAAGCCAAGUCAAAGAGGCAGAUCGGCUUCACCAGGAGAGGCACUCACUUCUGCAAAGACAGCAGGAUAAAGAGAACUAGCCUCUCGACCUGGACAAGAGGUGCCUACAACCGUGGGCUGAAAGAGUGUGGAGAACUGUUGACACUGCAGGCAAAAAGAAUGUUAUCAAAGUUCUGUUCAAGUCAAAGGCCUGACACGGAGGCUAAGGAGAGCUCACUGCCUCAAAGAAGAGCCUGCCUGGAGAGAUUUCUUCACGCUACAAACCUCUGUAAAUGUCCUUUCAACGAUUCUGUUUAAAAAAAAAAGGAAUAACCUUAGAUCAAAGUUAGGGCAAGAGUUUCCACAACAGCGAAGCCCACAAUGCCGCAAGGGGGAGAUUAGAGUGAAAUUUUUACGUGAAAAUGUUUCAAGUAUUUAGAAGCUCUUAUGGAAGUAAAAAACACCACAAUGGACAAAUGAUGUGAAUAAAAAUUCACAGAAGAGGUAGCAGUGGCCAAUAAAUAAGAAAA